rnacentral:rRNA from 1 species
GAUGAACGCUGGCGGCGUGCCUAAUACAUGCAAGUCGAGCGAACAGACGAGGAGCUUGCUCCUCUGACGUUAGCGGCGGACGGGUGAGUAACACGUGGAUAACCUACCUAUAAGACUGGGAUAACUUCGGGAAACCGGAGCUAAUACCGGAUAACAUGUUGAACCGCAUGGUUCAACAGUGAAAGACGGUCUUGCUGUCACUUAUAGAUGGAUCCGCGCCGCAUUAGCUAGUUGGUAAGGUAACGGCUUACCAAGGCAACGAUGCGUAGCCGACCUGAGAGGGUGAUCGGCCACACUGGAACUGAUACACGGUCCAGACUCCUACGGGAGGCAGCAGUAGGGAAUCUUCCGCAAUGGGCGAAAGCCUGACGGAGCAACGCCGCGUGAGUGAAGAAGGUCUUCGGAUCGUAAAACUCUGUUAUUAGGGAAGAACAAAUGUGUAAGUAACUAUGCACGUCUUGACGGUACCUAAUCAGAAAGCCACGGCUAACUACGUG